AGAGUUUGAUCCUGGCUCAGAUUGAACGCUGGCGGCAGGCUUAACACAUGCAAGUCGAACGGUAACAGGAAGGAAGCUUGCUUUCUUUGCUGACGAGUGGUGGACGGGUGAGUAAUGCUUGGGAAUCUGGCUUAUGGAGGGGGAUAACUACGGGAAACUGUAGCUAAUACCGCGUAAUAUCUUCGGAUUAAAGGGUGGGACCGUAAGGCCACCUGCCAUAAGAUGAGCCCAAGUGGGAUUAGGUAGUUGGUGGGGUAAAGGCCUACCAAGCCGACGAUCUCUAGCUGGUCUGAGAGGAUGACCAGCCACACUGGAACUGAGACACGGUCCAGACUCCUACGGGAGGCAGCAGUGGGGAAUAUUGCACAAUGGGGGGAACCCUGAUGCAGCCAUGCCGCGUGAAUGAAGAAGGCCUUCGGGUUGUAAAGUUCUUUCGGUGAUGAGGAAGGCGGUUGUUUUAAUAGAACAGUCGAUUGACGUUAGUCACAGAAGAAGCACCGGCUAACUCCGUGCCAGCAGCCGCGGUAAUACGGAGGGUGCGAGCGUUAAUCGGAAUGACUGGGCGUAAAGGGCACGCAGGCGGUGACUUAAGUGAGAUGUGAAAGCCCCGGGCUUAACCUGGGAAUUGCAUUUCAUACUGGGUCGCUAGAGUAUUUUAGGGAGGGGUAGAAUUCCACGUGUAGCGGUGAAAUGCGUAGAGAUGUGGAGGAAUACCGAAGGCGAAGGCAGCCCCUUGGGAAUAUACUGACGCUCAUGUGCGAAAGCGUGGGGAGCAAACAGGAUUAGAUACCCUGGUAGUCCACGCUGUAAACGCUGUCGAUUUGGGGAUUGGGCUUUAAGCUUGGUGCCCGUAGCU
rnacentral:rRNA from 1 species